UUUUAGGGUUGCUAUUUAAGUUCUCUGUGCAAAUGCAAGCCUUGUUAUAUUUUUGAUUUCUGACAAAAUAGGUUACACAGCGGGAAAUUUGCUGUCUGGCUUAAAAAAAAGUUUCAGCAUCAUUUGGACGGGUUUCAGAUGCUUACAAGCAAAUAACCAGUUGCAUCUCGGGUGGCGCAAACAUAAAACCUUGUUCCCAAAUGCCUUGCAAAAGUGUGCGGAGGAGGUUGUAUGGGAAUGCUACAUAGCCUGAUUCGCUGGGUCCCUUCUGCGUCUGCAGUCAGUCCUGAGCUUGCACCUCUUCAGUCGGACAGAUGUGCUGACUCCAUUCCUGAACUUUGCAAUGUACUGGAACAACCAAGUAAGAGGGAACAGCCCUACAUGAAAUAUUGUUACCCAGAGAUCAUGUUGUAUGGGAUGCAGUGGCAAGCCUCCUUGCUCCAGGACACUUUGUUCCCAGAGUACUGCAUGGAGAGGAACCAGUAGAUUGGGAAGGAGAAGUCUAAAAAGAUUGGUAUGCUUCAAGAUCCCAUCUCCAGCUCAGAGUAAGUCAAUUAGCAGGGGAGGGGUAAAACACACACACACACACACACGC
rnacentral:lncRNA from 1 species